rnacentral:rRNA from 1 species
CCUACGGGUGGCAGCAGUGGGGAAUAUUGGGCAAUGGAGGCAACUCUGACCCAGCAACGCCGCGUGAGCGAUGAAGGUCUUCGGAUUGUAAAGCUCUGUCGCAGGGGACGAAGUAUGACGUUACCCUGUAAUAAAGCCCCGGCAAACUACGUGCCAGCAGCCGCGGUAAUACGUAGGGGGCUAGCGUUGUCCGGAAUUACUGGGGGUAAAGGGGGGGUAGACGGCGUGUCAAGUUAAGUGUGAAAGCCUACGGCUUAACCUCAGAAUUGCACUUAAAACUGAGUCGCUGGAGUGCAGGAGGGGUAGGUGGAAUUCCUAGUGUAGCGGUGGAAUGCGUAGAUAUUAGGAGGAACACCAGAGGCGAAGGCGGCUCGCUGGACUGUAACUGACGUUGAGGCUCGAAAGCGUGGGGAGCAAACAGGAUUAGAUACCCCUGUAGUC